AGGGUCCAGCUUCGGCGGCACGCUAACCUCGAUUCGGAGCGCGCGCCACUACUGCAACUCUUUAUUAGCACGUUCUUGCUCUCGAUCGAGAGAACUCGGUGAUCGAUACUGCCUGUGGCCUUGAACGCAGCAAACUUUUCGACUCGUUUAACAAAGUGUAGGGGAAUAUAAUUAGGGUGUCUACAGCCGUGUUGCCGUCGCGUCUUCGAGAGGAGGCUGUCGUCCGUGAUUCGGCCAAAUGAGUGACGCGAAUGGUAGCACGGCGUCGGUAUGACUGACUCUCUCUCCUGACCCAGCGUACACGACCUGGCGUUGUGGCAAGCAAGCAACCAGCAGGCGUAUCCGUGGUUGGUCAGCCGGUUUGCCAGCGAUGGACUUGAUCCGAUUCCCGACUUUUCCCUUGUUACGAUCGAUUCGACCGCGGGGCUGCACCUCUCUUUCGCCGUGGAGGAAUGAAGCGCGGUUGAAUUAUAUUUCAUCUGAUAUAUUCACGUGAUAUAUGUGUACCUUGGUGACAGUGCGUGUUUUCUCUUUCUUUCUUUCUUUCUUUCGGUCGGGUGAAUUUUAUCGAGGAUAAUAAGUUUUGGGGACAAAGAAGAUUUUCAGAGGUGAGAAAAGAUAAUUGCUACGCGGAGAUUUUAUAAAGACUGAAAGAUUGUACGACGUAAUGAUUAAUAUGUGUAUUUUAUUCGUGAGUUCGUUUAGAAUUAAGAGAGAAGUUAUAUAUAUAGUUCUUGAGUGAACUAAUCUGCGAAUCAUUGUAUAGAAUGUUAAAAAUUGGGAUUUUAAAGGUCAAAUAAAUUUAAAAAUUAGUACACGAAAAUAUCGAUUGAAGCUUAUUUAUCGAGUUAUAAGCAAGUUUAGAAGAAGUUAGAUAGAAAUAACUUUAUCUUGAAAUAACUGUCUUCGUCUUAUCUAAACUUGCUUAUAGUUUAAUAAAUAAAUCUCAAUCGAUAUUUUUCAUAAAUUAAUUUUUGUGAUUUUGUUUUGAUUUCGAUAUGUCGCUUAUUAAAAAAUGGAAAGAAUGCAGACCGGUUUUUUUUAAAUUAAAUAAUUAAAUUGGUAGAAUCCGAUGAAAAAGUUGAAGAAUUUUUUUCUUCCAUUUUUUUAAAUGAAACGACAUAAAUUAAUUAAAUGUAGCGUUUAAUUAAAUUACUAUAUUUUUAAUAUAAAUAUAAAUAUAGGUUGUUAUAUAUUAUAUAAAUUAUUGCAAUAAAAUUUCUUUGAAAAUUUAAA